rnacentral:rRNA from 1 species
UAGAGUUUGAUCCUGGCUCAGGAUGAACGCUGGCGGCGUGCUUAACACAUGCAAGUCGAACGAUUAAAGCCCUCUUCGGAGGGUGUAUAAAGUGGCGAACGGGUGAGUAACACGUGGGCAAUCUGCCCUCCACACCGGGAUAACCCUUGGAAACGAGAGCUAAUACCGGAUACUCCGUCUGGACCGCAUGGUCUGGUCGGGAAAGCUACGACGGUGGAGGAUGAGCCCGCGGCCCAUUAGCUUGUUGGUGAGGUAACGGCUCACCAAGGCGACGAUGGGUAGCCGAGCUGAGAGGCUGAUCGGCCACACUGGGACUGAGACACGGCCCAGACUCCUACGGGAGGCAGCAGUGGGGAAUCUUGCGCAAUGGGCGAAAGCCUGACGCAGCAACGCCGCGUGCGGGACGAAGGCCUUCGGGUCGUAAACCGCUUUCAGCAGGGACGAAAAUGACUGUACCUGCAGAAGAAGCUCCGGCUAACUACGUGCCAGCAGCCGCGGUAAUA